rnacentral:rRNA from 1 species
CCUACGGGCGGCAGCAGUGGGGGAUAUUGCACAAUGGGGGAAACCCUGAUGCAGCAACGCCGCGUGAGUGAUGACGGCCUUCGGGUUGUAAAGCUCUGUCUGCAGGGACGAAAAUGACGGUACCUGAGGAGGAAGCCACGGCUAACUACGUGCCAGCAGCCGCGGUAAUACGUAGGGGACGAGCGUUGUCCGGAUUUACUGGGCGUAAAGGGGGCGUAGGCGGAGUUGUAAGUGAGGUGUGAAAUACCCGGGCUCAACUUGGGGGCUGCAUUUCAAACUGGAAGGCUAGAGUGCAGGAGGGGAGAAUGGAAUUCCUAGUGUAGCGGUGAAAUGCGUAGAGAUUAGGAAGAACACCAGUGGCGAAGGCGAUUCUCUGGACUGUAACUGACGCUGAGGCUCGAAAGCGUGGGGAGCAAACAGGAUUAGAUACCCCUGUAGUC